UUUGGACAUGGCCAAUGGGAUGGCCGGGCAAGGCAUUAGGGGGUAGAAGGAAAAGCAGGGGUAUUCCUUUCCCUUGCUUUCUCCCUGCUAUGCUUCAACUUUGGCACUAGCUGUAUUCUUCUUAUGGCCACAGCUCCUGUCCAGUGGUCCCCCUCCCAUAGCCACAGUUCACAGUCAAGCUGACACUGCUGCCUUCUCAGGCCUAAGAACGGCAAUGGCUUUUCUUCUGAUGUUGCUUCAGGUUCCUUCUCCUGGGUGUUAACACAGAAACAUCAUUUCGAGACAAGAGGCAACUUUACCUUGCAUUCUUCCCUUUCCUCGUUUUGUAGCAGAAAAUAUCUUGAGUACUUGACAGCAAGAAAAUGAAUAAUACCCACUCUUGAGCAACCUGAGGGUAGGAACUUUGCAUAUACAUCAGGUGCCCGAUAGUUACCGCCCUCAAAAAAAAAAAAAAAAAAAAGAAAAGAAAAGGAAGGUAGAAGCUAUCAGCAAAGUCCUAAAAUACCACGUAUAUUGUCAAAACAACUUUAAUUUGAAAAGUCAGUUCCACCUUGUAAAGUUUUCAGCUCCGCUCCCGCCUAACAUUGGGGUGGAAGGUUUUGAAACGACAUCAAAAGUAAUUCAUAACAAAACCCAAACGCAGAAACUGCUUUCUGUACUCCAACCUGCCCAGACUACCUGGAGCGCCGGAAAGUGGAUCCGCGCUCCAUUCUCCCCUCCGGGCCGAAGCUCUGCAUGCCUCCCUCCCCACUUUAAGCCCAUAGUCUCGAGUCUCGAGCGCAGGAGAUGCUCAGAGAUAAGCAGGGUCACUCACCGGUGAGGAGCCAGCAGCAGGCGACAGCGACCCCUGGGCUGGCGCAGCGCCGGGGGGCCAUAGUUGGAGCGGCCGCAGCGCCCUGGGACGCGCUGGAUCGGAGGGAAGGACUCGGCGAAACCACGCGCUGGAGCCGCGUUGCUCUGGGCCACUCCGCCCGCCGCCGUGGGUCUCAGUCGCUAGCCCCGUUGGCCCCGGCGCCUGGGAGCAGCACAGCGAUUUCCUGUGUUUUCGACCAGCCCCUCUAAGUUCGCUUCACGCUUCUCGCAUCCCAGAGGGAUUGCCACAUCUCCCCGCCGUUCGCACUCUCGGGCUCUGAAAUCCCACUGGCAGCCUCCCAGGCUCUGUCCGAGACAUGGACAAAUAAAGCCAGCUUCGCGGGUCCUUGUUUAGGCUAAAGUCCACGAGCUGCGAAGCAAACCUUAAAGGGACAUCUGCCUUUCAUUGAGAGGGUGAUUCCGCUCCCCGCGCCAACUCCCUAAGGUAGUAGGGACGCAGCCGAGGGCCGGACCUUCGGGAGGGUGGCUCCAGCCCAGUGGCUCCGCCUUCGCACCCCUCACUUCUCCCCGGGUCUGGGCACGGAGGGCACUUUCACAGUGCCGGGCUCCUAGGCCCUUAAGGGGAGGCUGCUUUCCUGGGGUCCGAUUGCGCAGAAGGGAUCGGUCCGUCUAUGCAGGAGAGCAGAUCUGGUAACCCCCGUGCCUCUCCUGUAGACACUUGAACUUCGCUGUCCAGCCGUCUCACACUAAAAGUGGGUGGGGGCGUCCACCCCGACACGCCCCGCUGAGGGCUUGGCUUUCACUUAUGGAGGGUUUCCUUCCUUUAUGGCGAUUCGUGGUCACAGGGAGGCUUUUCUUUGGGAAGACUGUGAUAAGCUGGGGGAAAGGAGAACCAAGACUGGGGGAAAACACGAAAGAAAGAAAUGCAAGAGGGAAGCGGGAGGGGAAGGAAGGGAGGAAAACAGUCUCGUUAGAAAUGGAAUGUGUGUGGGCAAUUUUGUUUAAUCUGAAUUAGGAUGUUUGUACACUGGAAGUUGAAUCUAAUAAAGAAUUUAGGGCACUGUUU